rnacentral:misc_RNA from 1 species
GAUGAAGAACGUAGCGAAAUGCGAUACGUAAUGUCAAUUGCAGAAUUCAGUGAAUCAUCGAGUCUUUGAACGCACAUUGCGCCCCCUGGUAUUCCGGGGGGCAUGCCUGUCCGAGCGUCAUUGCUGCCCUCAAGCACGGCUUGUGUGUUGGGCCUCCGUCCUCCUCCCGGGGGACGGGCCCGAAAGGCAGCGGCGGCACCGCGUCCGGUCCUCGAGCGUAUGGGGCUUCGUCACCCGCUCUUGUAGGCCCGGCCGGCGCUUGCCGACACAUCAAUCUUUUUUCCAGGUUGACCUCGGAUCAGGUAGGGAUACCCGCUGAACUUAAGCAUAUCAAUAAGCGGAGGA